rnacentral:rRNA from 1 species
ACAUCAGGAGGUUAGUGCAAUGGCAUAAGCUAGCUUGACUGCGAGCGUGACGGCGCGAGCAGGUGCGAAAGCAGGUCAUAGUGAUCCGGUGGUUCUGAAUGGAAGGGCCAUCGCUCAACGGAUAAAAGGUACUCCGGGGAUAACAGGCUGAUACCGCCCAAGAGUUCAUAUCGACGGCGGUGUUUGGCACCUCGAUGUCGGCUCAUCACAUCCUGGGGCUGAAGUAGGUCCCAAGGGUAUGGCUGUUCGCCAUUUAAAGUGGUACGCGAGCUGGGUUUAGAACGUCGUGAGACAGUUCGGUCCCUAUCUGCCGUGGGCGCUGGAGAAUUGAGGGGGGCUGCUCCUAGUACGAGAGGACCGGAGUGGACGCAUCACUGGUGUU